GCCUCGCCGCCCGUCGCUCGCCGCCCCGGCCACUCGCCGCCCUUCACCGCUCGUCGCUCGCUGCUCGUCACGCUUCGCUUCGUCCCCCUUAUCCUCAUCUUCACCACAGGGAGGAAGAACUUACUUCAAGCGCUAGGGUUUAGGCAUGUUCACGAAGGGCGGACAGUUGGCUGCUAUAAAUCUUGUAUCUCGUGCGGCCUUGCUUGCUGCAAAGAAGGUGAUGACAUUUGAAUUUGCAGACACACUGGAAAGUUAUCAUAGUGCAACAACGCAUGGUCAUUUACUCCAUAGAUAUUUUAUCAAAUGCGAACUCAUGAUUAUGUUUUUGCGUGAUUGGUUUUGGCAAAUACUAGCAAGGCACGUAGCAAUAGAAAUUUUACUUUCGGCUGGUAAAAGAGAAUUUAUGUAUAGGUUGUUAACUGUGCUUGUAGUACUGCAUCGACUAUUUGGAAAGAGUUGGUUUCUUCCACUGACCAUAAAUCAUCGAAGGUUAUGCGUGUAAACAAUAGCUCACCAAGGAGGUAUUACUCGAUGUAAUUCACAUCGUGUUCUGAGAGUGAGCUUGCUUUUGUUACUAUCUGGGUCUUUGUUAAAAGUAAAAUAAGGAAGGAAGUUUUCUUUUUUCGGGGUCUA